UACGUAGGGGGCGAGCGUUGUCCGGAAUCACUGGGCGUAAAGGGCGCGUAGGCGGGAUGGCAAGUCGGUCGUGAAAUCCUUCGGCUCAACCGAAGAACGUCGGCCGAUACUGCCGUUCUUGAGGGAUGCAGAGGAGAUUGGAAUUCCCGGUGUAGCGGUGAAAUGUGUAGAGAUCGGGAGGAACACCGGUGGCGAAGGCGGGUCUCUGGACAGUUCCUGACGCUGAGGCACGAAGGCCAGGGGAGCAAACAGG
rnacentral:rRNA from 1 species